ensembl:miRNA
CAAGGAUGGGGAGAUGGGGGUAGAACUUCAUUUCUCAUGCUCAUCCCCAUCUCCUUUCAG